rfam:Myotis davidii contig186337, whole genome shotgun sequence.
GGUAGUUCUCAGGUGAUGCACUCUGGAAUGGGGCUCCCUCCUUUCUGGUUCCGGGUGUGUCGCCUGAGAACCGCU